UCGGGAAUUUUGGGGCAAUGGGCGAAAGCCUGACCCAGCAACGCCGCGUGAAGGAUGAAGUAUUUCGGUAUGUAAACUUCGAAAGAAUAGGAAGAAUAAAUGACGGUACUAUUUAUAAGGUCCGGCUAACUACGUGCCAGCAGCCGCGGUAAUACGUAGGGACCAAGCGUUGUUCGGAUUUACUGGGCGUAAAGGGCGCGUAGGCGGCAUGACAAGUCACUUGUGAAAUCUCUGGGCUUAACCCAGAACGGCCAAGUGAUACUGUCGCGCUAGAGUGCAGAAGGGGCAAUCGGAAUUCUUGGUGUAGCGGUGAAAUGCGUAGAUAUCAAGAGGAACACCUGAGGUGAAGACGGGUUGCUGGGCUGACACUGACGCUGAGGCGCGAAAGCCAGGGGAGCAAACGGGAUUAGAUACCCAAGUAGUCCCUGAGCGGGCUGGCAAGGCGCAU
rnacentral:rRNA from 1 species